rnacentral:rRNA from 1 species
GUGCCAGCAGCCGCGGUAAUACGUAGGGACCAAGCGUUGUUCGGAUUUACUGGGCGUAAAGGGCGCGUAGGCGGCGCGGUAAGUCACUUGUGAAAUCUCUGAGCUUAACUCAGAACGGCCAAGUGAUACUGCAGUGCUAGAGUGUGGAAGGGGCAAUCGGAAUUCUUGGUGUAGCGGUGAAAUGCGUAGAUAUCAAGAGGAACACCUGAGGUGAAGACGGGUUGCUGGGCCAACACUGACGCUGAGGCGCGAAAGCCAGGGGAGCAAACGGGAUUAGAUACCCGCGUAGUCC